rnacentral:lncRNA from 1 species
GAACAUUCCCCCUGUAAUCGCUUCUCCUCACUUUUAUCUCGUUGCUGUUUAUCUUUGGAGGUAGUUCCACCAUUUUUUUUCUUGGAAUCUCUCCAUUGUGUCGUAGACAGUUUUUGUGAUUAUUUCUCUGAAUGCACUGAAUCCACUGUUAAAGAAAACUAUGUACUGGUGUAUGAAGUAGUUCCACCAUUUUUUUUCUUGGAAUCUCUCCAUUGUGUCGUAGACAGUUUUUGUGAUUAUUUCUCUGAAUGCACUGAAUCCACUGUUAAAGAAAACUAUGUACUGGUGUAUGAAGUAGUUCCACCAUUUUUUUUCUUGGAAUCUCUCCAUUGUGUCGUAGACAGUUUUUGUGAUUAUUUCUCUGAAUGCACUGAAUCCAUUGUCAGAGAAAACCAUGUCGUUGUUCAUGAAGAAAAGAGGCCGCACAGUUAAGACCAGAUAUGCUGUGGAGUAGCCCAAUUAUUGAAAAGUCUUCAUUGAAGUAAUGAAAUCAAUGGAAUGAGUUAAACAGAAAGGAACGAAGCCACAUCAGGAUCGAACCGAGAAAGAGAGGUUUAAAGUUUGGCUCCUGCAUAAAACUCAAUGUCAAAGAUGAACUUCAAGUCCAAUUUCUGCAAAAUUUGCUCCAACAAAAACUUUGAAUUUUUGGCGAUAGAUAGUAGAGCAGUGAUUGAGUUUGAAAACCACUCAUAACUCAAUUUUUUCCAAAAUGUGGGUUGGUUCCUUUCUGCUUAACUCAGUCCAAAUGUUUAUUAUAGUACCAAUGCACGGUUAUGACCAGAGUAACUGUGGAGUAACUCAAUCACUGA